GGGCCGGUAGCUCAACGGUAGAGCACUCGGUUUGCAUCCGAGAGGUUAGGGGUUCAAGUCCCCUCCGGUCCA
rfam:Candidatus Yanofskybacteria bacterium RIFCSPHIGHO2_02_FTLL_38_22b rifcsphigho2_02_scaffold_361, whole genome shotgun sequence.